GUGGGGAAUCUUGCGCAAUGGGCGAAAGCCUGACGCAGCCAUGCCGCGUGAAUGAUGAAGGUCUUAGGAUUGUAAAAUUCUUUCACCGGGGACGAUAAUGACGGUACCCGGAGAAGAAGCACCGGCUAACUUCGUGCCAGCAGCCGCGGUAAUACGAAGGGGGCUAGCGUUGCUCGGAAUUACUGGGAGUAAAGGGCGCGUAGGCGGACAGUUUAGUCAGAGGUGAAAGCCCAGGGCUCAACCUUGGAAUUGCCUUUGAUACUGGCUGUCUUGAGUACGGGAGAGGUGAGUGGAACUCCGAGUGUAGAGGUGAAAUUCGUAGAUAUUCGGAAGAACACCAGUGGCGGAGGCGACUCACUGGCCCGUUACUGACGCUGAGGCGCGAAAGCGUGGGGAGCAAACAGGAUUAGAAACCCCAGUAGUCC
rnacentral:rRNA from 1 species